rnacentral:rRNA from 1 species
CCGUAAGUUUGCCCCUGAGACUACGGCGCAAGCUAAACUCAAAGGAAUUGACGGGGCCCGCACAAGCGGGGAGCAUGUGCUUAAUCCGAUGCAACGCGAAGAACCUUACCAAGCCUUGACAUGCAACGGAAAAAGUCGUGAAAACACUGUGUCCUUUUGGACCGUUGCACAGGUGCUGCAUGGCUGUCGUCAGCUCGUGUCGUGAGAUGUUGCGUUAAGUCGCGCAACGAGCGCAACCCCUGUCUCUAUUUGCUUAAAGAGAUUUUUCUCAGCUCUAUAGAGAGACCAACUUUUUUUUAAGUGGGAAGUUGGGGAUGACGUCAAGUCAGGAUGGCCUUACGGUUUGGGCUGCACACGUGCUACAAUGUUCAAUACAAUGGGCACUGCUAUCUCGCAAGAGAGUGCUAAUCCUCAAAAUUGAACCUAGUUCAGAUUGCAGUCUGCAACUCGAUUGCAUGAAGCUGGAAUCGCUAGUAAUGGUGCAUCAGCUACGGCACCGUGAAUACGUUCCCGGGCCUUGUACACACCGCCCGUCACGUCAUGAAAGCCGGUGAUUCCCGAUGCGUAGCAAAGUAAAUUUGCUGCACGACGGAGUUGCUGGUAAUUGGGACGAAGUCGUAACAAGGUAA